rnacentral:misc_RNA from 1 species
UGGAAACAAAUAUAAAAAUUUAUGACUUUGGCUUGUAUAAAAAGGGAAAAGGCAGUGGAUCUUGAUCAAUGGCUAGGAUGGUGGACACACAAAAUUUAUGUGAAACACGAUAGUGUGGUCUGAUUUUAACAUUGGGUGACAUGGUGCAUGGUGGGAAGCUGGCCAAAAUGGUCUGUCCAUGUUUUCAAAAGAGAGAAAUCUGUCUAUUUCCAUGGUCUUAGGAGAUUGCUAGGAGAAGCAAGAAUGGAAGCAUUGACCAUAGAUUUGGAAGACUUUGAAAACUCCGAAACAGCCUCCUUUCUGGGGAGUUAUUUGAUCUCUUCAUCUCCAUUUACCAUUCUCCAUUGAUAUACAAAUCACUUUUCUUCUCCUUCUUCUUCUUCUUCAUCGCAAUCCUCUUCGUUUACUCCUAAGAGAAUCGUGUAUAGAGAGCCGAUACCUUUCUGGCAGCAGAACUGGUUCAUUGGAUUGCUUUUCGCCAUGGCUCUCGCCUUCUUUGCUAUCUCAAUCUUCCUCUUCCUCAACCUGGAUCUCGAACAGGGCUCCUUUUCUUCUGCCUCCGCCGCUUCCUCCUCCUCUGAAGGCCUCGAGAUUACAUAUGGAACCGUUCUCAAGCUGAUGCAUGAGAGGACAAAAUUUCGGCUUCAUUCCCAUGAUGUGCCAUAUGGCUCUGGCAGUGGGCAGCAAUCUGUUACGGGAUUUCCUAUUGUUGAUGAUUCCAAUAGUUACUGGGUUGUUAGGCCUCAACCAGGUACAGAUGCGAAACAAGGUGAGACCAUCAAAACUGGGACAAUCAUCCGCCUGCAACACAUGAGGACUAGAAAAUGGCUGCACAGCCAUUUGCAUUUAUCACCAAUAUCCGGCAACCUGGAGGUUAUGAGUUCUACUUUUCUGCUCCUAUUUCAUCCACACUUCAUAAUGUGUUCUGUAUAAAAUAUAUCUUUUAUGGGAUGAAGUUUUUGAAGGUAAGUAUGAGUUUUUAAACUAUUGUGUGUGUUUGGGAGGAAGAUUUUUUGAAGGUUGCUAAGGCUUUUGAAGGUUUCAAAACCUUCAAUAACCUCACUUUUCAAUCCACCAAAUUAUUGGGUUUGAUACUUUACCUUCCAUUAUCUUAAGUUAUUUUUAAAACCUCUCUUCACUCCUUCCAAACACACUGUAAUUGACUUGGUGUUUGUAUAGAAUGUUGUUGAAAGCUUCCCUAAGAUAUAAUAUAUGCUCAAUGAGCUAGAAGAAACAAUGACACGAUUAUUCACCACAAAAACUAUCAUACAAAUAAAUGGAAUGAAUAUCAUAAUUCAUUUUUAGCAAUCAUAUCAAGAAAGCAUUUCUAUGAUCUCUAGGUGUCAGUUAGAGAUUUGUUGAGUUUCGUGGCAUUCUCCUUUUGGGAAUCUGCAUUUAAUGUGCUGAAACUAUAUUUUCAGACCAAUCAUUGCCUUAACUUGAAACCCUACUAUUUUGUAUUGAGAAGUCUGUGGUGAAAAUGUGAAAUGGCUUUGUAAACAAGGGAGCUAGUUUGUUGAUGUAGCCGCUAAUCAGUAUUGUGCAAUAAAAAUCUUACUUCAGUGACCAAAAAGAUAUCUUUCAUGGGCUCUGGAAGCUGUUGAUUGUCUAAUGACACGAGCCAAACACUUUUCUGGGUGUAGGUUAGCUGCUUUGGAGGAGAGACUGAAUCUGACACUGGGGAUUACUGGAGGCUUCUGAUUGAAGGGAGUGGGAAGACUUGGAAGCAAGAUCAAAGGAUUCGGCUGCAACAUGUUGACACUGGUGGCUACCUUCACAGUCAUGACAAGAAAUACCAACGGAUAGCUGGGGGGCAGCAAGAGGUUUGUGGUGUCCGUGAAAAGCGAGCUGAUAAUCUUUGGCUGGCAGCAGAAGGUGUGUACCUCCCCAUUACCCAGAGCAAGUAGAAGUAGAACACGGUUAUAGUAAAGGGAUUGACAUUGUAAAAACAGGUACCUGUUAUUACUUGUUAUAAUAGCUGUAGGUGCUCCAUGAAAUGAAGAAAUAUGUUUCAGAGGCUAGAAUGUAACACCUUGAAUUAUUAUUUCUUUCUCAUGCACCACAUGCAAAUCUCAUUUACCUUAAGAAAAUACCACUUUGGAUUAACAGUGAGCAACUUCAUAUUCAUUCUGAGGCUUUUCCAUAAUAGAGUAAAAUCUUGGUCAUCAUUUUAGAAAUAUAAUGUAUCACUUUCAUAUACAACAUGAAGAUUCAACAAAGUGUGUGAUCCUCGUUAGGGAAGGCAUUGGAUGAUUUAUCUAGCACGCUCACAUGGAUUGGAUGUCAAAUCCAAUUUUUAUUUCUGUUUGAC